rnacentral:rRNA from 1 species
CGGUCGCGAAUUCCCCCUUCGGCAAUUCCAGCUCCAAUCUUGUAUAUUUAAGUUGUUGCAGUUAAAAAGCUCGUAGUUGGACUUUGGGACGGGUCGGUCGGUCCGCCUCGCGGCGUGCACCGGUCGUCCCAUCCCUUCUGUCGGCGAUGCGUGCCUGGCCUUAACUGGCCGGGUCGUGCCUCCGGCGCUGUUACUUUGAAGAAAUUAGAGUGCUCAAAGCAAGCCCACGCUCUGGAUACAUUAGCAUGGGAUAACAUCACAGGAUUUCGGUCCUAUUGUGUUGGCCUUCGGGAUCGGAGUAAUGAUUAAGAGGGACAGUCGGGGGCAUUCGUAUUUCAUAGUCAGAGGUGAAAUUCUUGGAUUUAUGAAAGACGGACCACUGCGAAAGCAUUUGCCAAGGAUGUUUUCAUUAAUCAAGAACGAAAGUUGGGGGCUCGAAGACGAUCAGAUACCGUCCUAGUCUCAACCAUAAACGAUGCCGACCAGGGAUCGGCGGAUGUUGCUCUUAGGACUCCGCCGGCACCUUAUGAGAAAUCAAAGUCUUUGGGUUCCGGGGGGAGUAUGGUCGCAAGGCUGAAACUUAAAGGAAUUGACGGAAGGGCACCACCAGGAGUGGAGCCUGCGGCUUAAUUUGACUCACCACGGGGAAACUUACCAGGUCCAGACAUAGCCAGGGAUUGACAGAUUGGAAAGCUCUUUCUUGAUUCUAUGGGGGGGUGGUGCAUGGC